GGAGAUGUACUCAAGUGGUCGUAAGAGGUCGCACUCGAAAUGCGAUAGGCCCGCAAGGACGCAAGGGUUCGAAUCCCUUCAUCUCCG
rnacentral:tRNA from 1 species